UCAUCAAUAUUUUCGUCCGACAACUGUCAGCGCUGACUAAAAUUGUCAGCGCUGACAAUUUAGUCAGCGCUGACAAAAAUUCGUUUCAUCAAACUCUCGGAGCUUCUCUGACUAUUGUCAGUGAAUUUUUAUUUUACAAAUCGUCUUGAACGAGGUUCGCUGACUAAUUAGGCCACGCCCACUCCCAAAGUUGUGAAGAAGAUGUAAAAUUGGUUGAUGUUUUCGCCGCGACGAUUCGAAGUGAAACGAAGAAAUAAGUAGAAGCGAAGGUCCCCGAAGAGGUGAAUGAGGAUUUUACCACUAUGGACAUUUUAACAAUAUGCAGAAGGAGACGGGUCUGGAACUAGAAAGCUAGGCUCUGACUGGUCUAUUACAGCAAGGAAUGUGCCAGCGGCCAAUCUGAUGAACAUGUGGCAGAAGAUUUGGCAGUGGGUGAAGAAAUACUGAGAUUGAAAUGCAACCACAGGUGGAGGCUUUACCCAAACUUUUCAGACAGACAUGAGAUACAAAGUUACCCAAGUAUAAAUGGUUGAAGGUUUAGGAGAGCCAGACAAGAAGGCAGGAAAUGUGAUGUCACUUGUAAGUUACUUCAAUAAACAUGAACAGCAGCAGGAGCAACAACAUCAUCAGCAGCCGAAACCACAACUGCAGUAAGAGAUGCAACAACCACACCCACAACAACAAGAGCAGCAGCAAAAACAACAGAAAUUCCAGCAACCACGAUGACAACAGCAGCAGCAACACCAACAACACUAAUGAAUAUUGAAAAACUUGUACAAAAGUCAAUGAGGUCACAGUUUUCAGACAUUAUUGAUUAAAAAAUGCACAAUGAUUUAUUCGGGUUGAAGAAAAUAACAUGAAUGUUUGAAAAAGUGUGUACAUUUGAAGGUGUUUCCUAUCAAAUUGUAUUGAUUAAUUUAUGAAAAUAUAGUUUUAAAGAUAAAAAUAUGAUGCUUGAAAUGUCUACUUUUUAUUUGUCAUUGACUAAGAAUAAAUACAUUUUCUUUGAAUUUUCUUAAUGAAAUGAAAAAUAAGCAAUUUAUUAAAAUGUUAUACUCAAAAUCAACUGAAAUUUAUCGAUUUUAGCUGCUAAAGUCCAUAAAAGGCUGAUUAGUCGGUGAAAAUAAGUUUUGUCGGUAGGUGAAGGCCACCGACAAAAUUAGUCGGUGGUUUCCAAUAAUUUGUCGGAGAAAAUCACCGACAAAUUUUCAUGAAAUGGAAUUUAGUCGGUGAUGGCAAAAUUGUCGGUGAAAAUGAAAUUAGUCGGUGAAAAUCACAAUUAGUCGGAGAAAACCACCGACUAAUUGUUUGAUGAAACGCCCCCCCGAUCUGAAAAAUCUCGAGAUAGUUGGCGGUGGAGACGCAAUUAUCGCGCUAGUUCGUAGGAUUAAUCUCGAGAUUGCAAUCCCAAGUCAACUCGGGUUUAUUUGCAAAAUAGCGCGCUAUUUUACGAAUUAUCCCGCUAAUUCGUCGGUGCAGACGCACUCGAGAUUGGACUCGGGGUAAUUUAUUCAUGACGUCAGUCCAUAAUGCAAUUCGCGUUCCACUUCCGCCUCGGUCAAAACAUAAACACGUGCGAAAGUCAACUUUAUACAUGCGAAUAGCGUUCAUCAAUUGCCUAAUAAGCAACGAUGGUGUCCCACCAGUGAAUGGAUUUUGGGAGAGACCAGACCGAAGGGGGAGGCGCUCAUCGACGAUGGUCAUAUUCAAUGCAGUGUUGUCUUAUUCCUUCGCAAAAUGUGAGCAAAUAGCAUUUCUUUCCCCCUUCUCUCCCUCUCUCUCUCUCUCUGUCGUUGCCUCCUACUCCGCCAUCAUAUUUAACGAAGAAUACAUCACUUCUUCACUCGCUGAGCUGAGAGGAUUGUUGCAUAACACCGGUCGAAUUCGGCGAAAGUGCUAGUGAAAGGAGUACAUUGCUUGCAUAUAUAUCGCGGGAAGUUAUUCAAAAGCGCGGGCCGUUGAAACUCCAAGAUCCGAAAGUGCGCAUGCUCGUAACAUCGGGCUUGUUGCCUCGCUCGAGCAGGAAUCGCUCUUCUUGCGAUGGUGGAGACGGGGUUUCUUGAAUCUCGAGAUUAAUCGCGAAGUGGGCCGAUCGGGCUAAAAUCUCGAGAUUGAGCAAACUCGGGAUGGUGCAGCACCACCUAUUUUUUGGUCGGAUACUUCAUGGGACUUGCAAGGAACUUUUUACUACAGUCCCACACCUUGGACUUUUUGUGAUACUUGGAGCUAAAAAUGUUAGUGAAAGUGAAAGUGGAUCAACGUGGGGAAAUGUCCUAAUUAACAUCCCAUGCCUGUAAACAUAGUCUUCUCUUCAAAACAGAGUACUACUCUAUCAAUGCUCUUGUUCACAUAAACCUGUCCUCUCAUUUGGGUCUUUUCCUUCUCUGCAGCCUUCACUCACAUUAAUUUCAACAAUUUGUUUUGGAUUAUUCCCACUUUUUUCUCAUAAACUCAUAUUUAAAUGUAACAAUGCCAACAAAAAGGGAAUCGGAUGACAUCGGCCAGCUUGUCAUUGACGAGCUAGAAAAAAAUUGUCAAUUAAAAAAGCUUGUGCAAUAUGCAGUUACGGAGGCAAUGUCUUCAAUUGUCAUCCGGCGAGAGAUGCAGGGGGCCGGAUCAUGGAGCUGGAGGGGGAGAUAAAGGCCCAAGAGUCGGAGAUACAACUACGUAAGGAGGCGAGGAAAAGAAAUCCGUUGAAAAGAUGGCAGUCUUGGAGCAAAAAAAAAUAGAUGACCUGGAGCAAAAAUCUAGAUCGCGCAACAUCCGGAUCCAAGGAGUGCCUGAAUUGAAAGCUGAAGAUCCAGAGGAGCCUGUGAUUGACAUUUGUAGGAGGAUGGGGUCAACGUGACUUCAACCGACAUUGUACGAUGUCAUCGACUGGGUCCUUUAGUAGACAAAGGAGCAAGAAGAAAUUUACCUCGUCCAAAGCUCUUUAGUAGAGUUGUCCUGCCUCCGCACCCGAGCUCGCGUAUGGGAGCCAGAUCAAAGUUGAAGAGCUAAAUCUUUGUAAACGAUGAUCUGACUCCCACAAGGCAAAAGCUACUUUUCAAUGUUCGCCACUCACCGAAAGUUGAGCGAUCUUGGAGCAACGAUGGAAAAAUCUUCGCUGGACUUAAGAACACGGGAAAUCGGACUUACGAAAAACUCAUCACAUGUGAUGAUGAUAUUUUGAAGCCUUGAAUCGUAAUCAAUGUCUAUUGUAGGAUAUCAUACUGACCUAUAUGCCCACUUUGAAAAGAAAGGGUCAUUUCCUUGCAGGUCAAAUCCCAUGAUUGAUAACCUAAAGUUGCUUCUUCUUUUUUUUCAUUCAUCUUUCCCUAUUAAUUUCCGUUUGUUUCAUUAUUAUUUCUAUUACAAUCCCUUAUAAUCUUUUUUUUAUUUGCUUCUGUAAGUUAUAUAAUAUGUUCAUCUUAUUUUACAUACAUUGUUGCACGUUUUUCUCUUUUAUAUUGUGUGUGCAUCUUGACAAUCUUCCUUUUCAUGCUGACAUGUUCUUUAUGGUGCAAAAAGUUAGAUUUCACUUGAAUUGUAUACUCAACAUCCAAAUGAUUAGUAUAUAGAAGCCAUUUGUAGCUUAUUAGAAAAUAAUUCAAGAAUACUUAUGCAAUUAACUGUCAAUACUGUUCAGAAAACCAGUUUAUUAAUAGUUUUCAAGACAAAAUUGAAACUGCUACUGUCUUGCAUUUAAAUAUGAGUAGUAUGCCUAGGAACUAUGAUGCUUUUAGUACACUAAUUGAAAAAUGUAAAGAUAGUUAUACUGUGAUUGGAGUCACUGCAUGAGACCUGGUUCUCGAGUGUAAACGACUUAAAUCUUUAUCAUAUUCCUGGUCAUAGUCUUGUGUCUAAUCAUAGAUAUGCUAAAAAGGGAGGUGGGUUCGCUUUACAUAUCCCAGAUUCAUUGGACUUUCAAUUAAGGUAUGAGUUCGAUAUGAUGACUGAGCACAUGGAAUCAAUCUUCGUGAAGUGCUUCAUUCCGGGUAAAAGAAAUUUUAUAUUUGGAGUUGUGUAUCAAAGAAACCUAAAUAGUUUUGUGGACGAAAUGCAUAGUAUUCUUUUAAACCCACUUUUCGUAAACAAAACAAUUUUCAUAAUGGGUGAUUGUAAUAUAAACCUCCGUCAGUGUGAUGAAAAUGAUCAUUAUGAUGAGUUUCUUAAUAUGAUGCUGUCUUUUUCCUGAAUGCUAUUAAUUAUUAAACCAACAAGGGUAACCAUGGUAAUAGAAGCUUCAUCUACGCUCAUAGAUAACAUUUUUUUUAAUAGACAACCUUUUCCAUCCUCAGGGAUUAUUGUAUCAGAUAUUUCAGAUCAUUUCCCGAUCUUCGCUCUUCUUAACUUGGAUAGAGUCUGUAAACAAGAAUCCAAAUCAAUUCGGAAAAACACUUCCGAUAAUAUUGCAGAGCUACGGGAAGCCUUAAUCAGUUAAUAGAAACUGACUGGAGUGAAGUUCUUGAAGAAAAUGAUGUGAACAUAUCGUUCAACAACUUCUCACAAAAAUUCAUGUCUCUGUAUAAUAAAAAUGUACCAGUUGUAAAGCGUAGUAGAAGAAAUCGUAAAAACGUUCCUCUUAUGCCUUGGGUAAGUGCUUCUUUGUUAAGAUGCAUUAACAAGAAAAACAAGUUGUAUUAUUCGUAUAAAGUGCGUGGUACUGAAUCUUCACGUAAACGAUAUGUAAAUUAUAAAAAUACGCUUACUUCAAGACUUACAGAGAUUUUAUGAAAGAGCAAAAUGGUAAAAGUUUAUUUUUCUUACCAGUAGUUCGGGAAGAAUUGCUUACCAUUGUGAAAUCUCUUAAAAACCGGGAAAAGUCCUGGUUAUGAUGGGGUUACUAACAACUUAAUUAAAGAAAUUUUCUUAGAAAUUAUUCAACCCCUACUUCAUGUGGUCAAUCUAUCAAUAUCACUUGGGGAAGUUCCUGCUGACAUGAAAAUUGCUAAGGUCGUACCCAUUUUUAAGAAAGGAGACCCCCAAUUAAUGCCUUACUAAUUACAGACCUAUUUCUCUAUUGACUGCAUUAUCAAAUAUUCUUGAGAAAGUGAUUUAUGUUAGAACUUUGAAUUUUUCAACAAGAGUAAUAUAUUUUCUAUAUUUAAGUUUGGCUUUCGCGAGAAACAUACCACCACCCAUGCCUUGCUACAUAAAAUAUCACAAUCCAUUUACAAAAAGAUGCAUAUAAUUGGUAUAUUUCUUGAUUAUUCGAAAGAGUUCGACACAGUAGAUCAUAUUUUGAUUGGCAAGUUAUCAAAUUAUGGUAUCAGGGGUACAACAUUUGACUGGUUCAAGAGUUACUUAGCUGACAGGAAACAAUUUGUCUCGAUAAAGGGGGAGAGUCACUAGUCACUUGUGGUAUUCCCCAGGGUUCUCUCCUUGGUUCGUUAUUAUUUAUUGUGUAUAUUAAUGAUUUGUAUCAUUCGUCUGAUAUUUUAUCGUUCACUUUAUUUGCUGAUGAUUCAAGUUUGUAUUAUUCACACAGAAAUCCUGAGACCCUUUUUAAAACGGUUAAUAGUGAAAUGAGGAUAGUCAUUUUGUGGAUUCAAGCAAAUAAAUUAUCUCUAAAUUUGCAGAAAACAAAUUAUAUGCUCUUUAGCAACACGAUUAGAGAAGUUACAGUUGAUGUUAUAUUUGAUGAUGUGUUAAUAGAUAGAGUAAAGACGACAGGGUUUCUGGGGUUGCACAUGGAUGAAAAACUGAUUGGGAAAACCCAUAUAAAUAAUUUCUGUAAAACAUUAUCAAAAAAUGGUGAUGUAAUAUACAAAUUGAUUUUUUUUUCUCUACUGAUAUUCUUUGUAUGAUGUAUUCAACAUUAAUUCUCCCGUUCUUGCAUGGGGUAAUUCUCUUAAAACCAAUGUUGAAAGGGUGUAUUGAUUCAGAAAAGGGUUUUAAGAAUUGUUUGUAACGUUUACUAUCGUUUGCAUACUACCCCACGUUUUUAUGAGCAUAGAAUUCUAAAAUUACAAGAUAUCUACGUAUUUCACUUUGGUACUCUAGUGCAUGCAUACAAUGAAGGCAUCAUGCCACCAGCUCUGGUUACAAUGUUCAUGAAAAAUAGUGACAUACACAACCAUUAUACACGAAAUGCUUCUGCAUUACACGUACAAGCUUUGCUUUUAGGACAGUUGUAAGUACUGGACCUAGGUUCUGGAACUCUCUCAAUUCAAAUAUUAAAAAAAAUCGGUAAGCAUUUAUACUUUUCAGCGUUUACUUAUCUUCGUAAUUCUUAUUUGUGAGUUGCUCUAGGUUAAGAUAUGCUUUUAUAUACUAUUUUAUUUUACUUUUGGAGCCUAUAAAAAGUAUAUAGAAACUGAAUAAUGUUAUGAUAUAUCAAUAUCUAUUUAUCUUGUAUCUUGUCUAACUGGAUUCUUUUGCAGAGGGUCAGCCCAUUUUCCCCCUUUUGUAUUCUAUUCUGGUGUUUCUUUUACCUUUGUCAUGUCUUAUUUUUAAUUUAUUGAUUCUAACGUUCUUCCCUUUAUAAUGUCAUGUAAUCCAAACUUAUUUCUUCUUCCAUAAUAUUUCACUUAAUUAUAUUAUUGUUAGUUUACAAGACUUAA